UUACUCAUUGCUGGUGCUCCACUUGGUGAAGAAUUGAAGGGGAUUUUGAUUCAUGUGUGAAGGUGGGAACCCGUUCUGCGUUACUCAACUUUGGAUCACCAGUGGAUGCAUCUCAGCUAUAUAAAUUACUCCAUGCCCUUCAUCCACAUCCUCAUUAGAAGAAAAAUUAGCAGGCAGAGGUGCACCUGGAACAUAUUUGUACUCUACCUGGAAGCAGUGCAGCAAAU